rfam:Prunus persica cultivar Lovell chromosome G2, whole genome shotgun sequence.
AAUGGGGAGAGAGAGCUUUCUUCAGUCCACUCAUGGAUAAGAUUUUAAGGGUUGUUGAAGUAGCUGCCGACUCAUUCACUCAAGCACUCAGUAGAAAAAUUCGAAAGGAGUGAGAAAAAAAAGAACCAUCAAACAAUUUGCUACUGUGAUUGUGUGAAUGAAGCGGGAGAUAUUUUACAUCCCUCUUUCUCUGCGCUUGGACUGAAGGGAGCUCCUCCUUUCCAUUGC